rnacentral:rRNA from 1 species
GAGUUUGAUCAUGGCUCAGGAUGAACGCUAGCGGCAGGCUUAACACAUGCAAGUCGAGGGGUAUUCUAGCAAUAGGAGAGACCGGCGCACGGGUGCGUAACGCGUAUGCAAUCUACCUUUCACAGAGGGAUAGCCCAGAGAAAUUUGGAUUAAUACCUCAUAGUAUUAUGGAAUGGCAUCAUUUUAUAAUUAAAGUCACAACGGUGAAAGAUGAGCAUGCGUCCCAUUAGCUAGUUGGUAAGGUAACGGCUUACCAAGGCGACGAUGGGUAGGGGUCCUGAGAGGGAGAUCCCCCACACUGGUACUGAGACACGGACCAGACUCCUACGGGAGGCAGCAGUGAGGAAUAUUGGACAAUGGGCGCAAGCCUGAUCCAGCCAUGCCGCGUGCAGGAUGACGGUCCUAUGGAUUGUAAACUGCUUUUGCACAGGAAGAAACACCCCCUCGUGAGGGGGCUUGACGGUACUGUGAGAAUAAGGAUCGGCUAACUCCGUGCCAGCAGCCGCGGUAAUACGGAGGAUCCAAGCGUUAUCCGGAAUCAUUGGGUUUAAAGGGUCCGUAGGCGGUUUAGUAAGUCAGUGGUGAAAGCCCAUCGCUCAACGGUGGAACGGCCAUUGAUACUGCUAGACUUGAAUUAUU